rnacentral:SRP_RNA from 1 species
GCCGAGCUCAGUCGCGGGAGCUUGUGACCCAAGUGGGGGCAACACGAGUGGUACCGGAUGUUCGGUGCGGAAACUGGGCCUAGGCCCAUGUGUGCAAUCGUGUUGGCCCUGCCCGUUCCAAGUUGCGUAGCUGGGCGGAGGGGCUUUGGCGAAGGCCCAUGGGCUUCUCCGGCCCUAGAGCGUCAGGCUGGCUUCACAGAGCAGCGAUCACUGCCCACUUCCAGCGGGUGGAAGGAUUACAGGCCGCUGCGCCAUGGGCCCGCUUCUGGCCCGGGGUUCCCUCUGUAACAGACCACCACUUUU